UACGUAGGGUGCAAGCGUUGUCCGGAAUUAUUGGGCGUAAAGGGCUCGUAGGCGGUCCAUCACGUCGGGAGUGAAAAGCUGGGGCUUAACCCCAGUCCUGCUUCCGAUACGGGUGGACUAGAGGUAGGCAGGGGAGAACGGAAUUCCUGGUGUAGCGGUGAAAUGCGCAGAUAUCUGGAGGAAUACCGGUGGCGAAGGCGGCAUCCUGGACCGGCAUUGACGCUGAGGAGCGAAAGCUAGGGGAGCAAACGGG
rnacentral:rRNA from 1 species